rnacentral:rRNA from 1 species
CCUACGGGAGGCAGCAGUGGGGAAUAUUGCACAAUGGGGGAAACCCUGAUGCAGCGACGCCGCGUGAGUGAAGAAGUAAUUCGUUACGUAAAGCUCUAUCAGCAGGGAAGAAAUACUGACCUUACGGUCAGCAGACGGUAUCUGAGUAAGAAGCCACGGCUAACUACGUGCCAGCAGCCGCGGUAACACGUAGGGGGCAAGCGUUAUCCGGAUUUACUGGGUGUAAAGGGAGCGUAGACGGUGCGCCAAGUCUGGAGUGAAAUGCCGCAGCUUAACUGCGGAACUGCUUUGGAAACUGGCGAACUAGAGUACAGGAGGGGUAAGCGGAAUUCCUAGUGUAGCGGUGAAAUGCGUAGAUAUUAGGAAGAACACCGGUGGCGAAGGCGGCUUACUGGACCGUAACUGACGUUGAGGCUCGAAAGCGUGGGGAGCAAACAGGAUUAGAUACCCGUGUAGGC